UAAUUAAAUAAAGUUAAAUACAUUAAAAUAUAUUAAAGUUGAAUAUAUUUAAAUAGAUAAUUAGAUUGAAAUAAUAUUAUAUCCUAUUAAAUAAUUAAAUAAUAAAUAUUUAACACAUAGAUUUAAAUUAAAUGAAAUACAGUGUAUUUAAACGUGCGCUGGCCACGAGGGGCGUUAACGUGAUGUUACGUGAGUGACGUAAACGUGAUGGCAAAAAAAAAAAAAAAAACGUAAACGUAACGUGAUGGCGCAAAUAACCACGAAGACGGAAGAAUAAUUCUGUUUAUUACAAAAGACUGAAGAUAUAACUGCCGCCAUCCUUUAAUUUAUUUAUUUCUACGUGGAGGACACUUUAUAAACCUACAGAGAUACCGGACCAACGAACGACCUUCACAACGGGACGGAGCUAACGUAAUUAACGUUAACGGUUACUUGGAAAUUCAAACAGUAACGGUCAUCUGACAACUGCGCUGAGCCAAAGGACCGGAACAGCAACAAGAGUUUAACUUCUGAUUCGUAAUCUACACACUCUACAGGGCAGUUCAUGAAGACAGAUAGAUGUUGUGCCGACCAGGACAGUUCCUCCUACCACACCAGACUUUGCUGUAUAUGGAUGCCUGACCACUAGCACUGGACAUUUACAACAUUUUGGCGCCAGGGAUCCCUUGCAGAGAAGAUUUUUCAAAGACACCCUCAGAAUUACAACAGAUUUUAAGGCUUAAAAUUAUU
ensembl:lncRNA